GUUCUGGUCUUUACUGGUUCAGGAGGACCCGGUCCGUCCCUGAGUGUCUGUUUCACUGGGAGCUGACAGUGAAAUGCUUCCUGGCCGUCUUCCAGCGUGGUUGUUCUAGCUCUUUUGUUUCUGUGGCGGUGGCGGCGGCGGCGGCGGUGGUUAUUGUGUGUGAUAGAGCGAGCGCUGGGACUGUUGUCACACUGAUCCUCUUAGAGCGCCUCCAUCCUUUUGUUUCGAGCUACAAUUAAAAGGCUUACGGCUCCCGCUGACGCUCUCUCCCUCUCAGAGCGAGUUAGAGCCGUGACAAAGAGCCUGUAUUUAGAAAAGAUCGGCGUUUUUAUCCGAACAAACGGCGUCACUUUGAAUUAUGAGACGAGGAUCAAACCCGCCUUUCUGUUUCACACUCAUGUGUUCACAGGUAAAAACAGCUGAUCUGACGAUGUUUCCAGACUUCCUGUUUUCAUUCAGGAUCGCCGUUCACACGCUCACACAUCGCCGUCACACGCCGACUCUUCGGCCGUCAUCGUUUCCUCGUCACGAAGUCGUUUUUUCGGAGGAUCUUUGGCCUCGAUCCAGAUCCUUCAGACGGCGAACAGAUGUGAGGAGAAGACUUCCUCCUGUUUCCUCGUAUCCCUACUUUCCUUCCUCUUGUUUCCUUGUAUCCUCUCAUUCUUCCUUGUAUCUCUCCUUUCCUUCCUCUUGUUUCCUCUUAUCCCUCCUUUCCUUCCUCUUGUUAUCUCAUAUCUCUCCUUUCCUUCCUCU